AUUGAACGCUGGCGGCAGGCUUAACACAUGCAAGUCGAGCGGGGUGAUGGUGCUUGCACUAUCACUUAGCGGCGGACGGGUGAGUAAUGCUUAGGAAUCUGCCUAUUAGUGGGGGACAACAUCUCGAAAGGGAUGCUAAUACCGCAUACGUCCUACGGGAGAAACCAGGGGAUCACUUGUGACCUUGCGCUAAUAGAUGAUCCUAAAUCGGAUUAGGUAGCUGGUGGGGGUGAAGGCCUACCAAGGCGAAGAUCUGUAGCGGGUCUGAGAGGUUGGUCCGCCACACUGGGACUGAGACGCUGCCCAGACUCCUACGGGAGGCAGCAGUGGAGAAUAUUGGACAAUGGGGGAACCCUGAUCUAGCCAUGCGGCGUGUGUGAAGAAGGCCUUAUGGUUGUAAAGCACUUUAAGCGAGGAGGAGGCUCUUUUGGUUAAUACCCAAGAUGAGUGGACGUUACUCGCAGAAUAAGCACCGGCUAACUCUGUGCCAGCCGCCGCAGUAA
rnacentral:rRNA from 1 species